GCUGGGCAUGGUGGCGCAUGCCUGUAAUCCCAGCUACUCGGGAGGCUGAGGCAGAAGAAUCGCUUGAACCCAGGAGGUGGAGGUUGCAAUGAGCCGAGAUCACGCCACUACACUCUAGCCUGGGUGACAGAGCAAGACUCAGUCUCAA
rnacentral:SRP_RNA from 1 species